rnacentral:lncRNA from 1 species
GUUUAGAGUGGCAUCUGAUUGAAAGCAAAGAGACCUGAAAGCAGGCUGGGGCAGGAAAACCCCGGGUGCCAGAAGAGCAGGUUUGGAAGUUCAAUUCAGUUUCAGUCAUGAUGAGUUUCAGGUGACUUUGAGGCACUCUGAGGGAAGACAAAUGGGCAGAGAUAUGUGUGGCUCUGGAGCUCAGAAGAAAGACCUGAGUUCGAAUGAUGCAUGUGGCUGUCACUGUCACACAGAUGGUGGCAGAAGCUGUUGGCUGAAGAGGCCGGUGGCACGCAAUCAUAGCUCACUGCAGCCUGGAACUCCCAGACUCAAACAAUCCUCCUGCCUCAGCCUCCUGAGUAGCUCCCAAGAACCACAGGCACACGCCACCAUGCCUAGGUAAUUUUUUAAUUUUUUGUAAAGAUAAGGUCUCACUAUGUUGCCCAGGCUGACCUGUAAGGUGUUAACUGGUAUUUUCUUUCUGGGUCUGUGGGAGGCUGAGGGAAUCAAGCUUUGUGUUCUGCAUUCUUAGUGCUUUGCCUCAGUGGGUUGUUAAUGGUUUUUGUGUAACAGGACAAAAUGUCUCAAAUCUUAGAAGCAGAUAUUUUGGUGGGGAGCGUGCUCUGAUAAGCCUAAACGGGUUAAAGGCUUUACAUUUUUUGUUUGUUUUGUAACUGACAGAAACUCCUACCCCUGAGAGGAAAGAAGAUCUUUUGUGGGGUGAGUCAGGGAUGCAGGGUUAUGAGAGCUGUGACUUUGGAAGCCACAGGGAAGGACCCACUUGCUUCUCAUAGAAACAGCUGAGCUACCUGACUUUAAGCAACUGUGUGUGCUUGGAAAGUAGCCCAUUGGGGAGGACCUCAAUUGUUAUUCAUUAUUUACACAACAAAUACAUAUUGAGGACCUUCUAUGUGUCAGCUUUCUGGUGAGUGCAAAAGACAUAUUUUACUUUUUGGAGUCUACAGUUUAGUAAAUCAUAAUCAGUCCAAGCAAUGAAUAGUGUUGGCCUUCUGUAGUUGGUCAAAGAACUCAGUGCUUCUACCAAUAAUUUAUAUGGAAACAUAGAAAGUAAGGGAGGUUUUUAAAUAUGACCGUGUCAUAUGCUUGCUUAAAUUCCUUCACUGGCUCAGCAUUACAUCCAGAUAAAAAUAAUUUUUUUUUUUUAGACAAAGUUUUGCUCUGUUGCCUAGGCUGGAGUGCAAUGGCACAAUCUUGGCUCAUUGCAACCUCUGCUUCCAGGGUUGAAGCGAUUAUCUUGCCUCAGCUUCCCAAGCAGCUGGGAUUACAGGUGCCUGCCGCCACACUUGGCAAAUUUUUGUAUUUUUAGUAGAGACGAGGUUUCACCAUGUUGGCCAGGCUGGUCUCGAACUCCUGACCUCAGGUGAUCCACCUGCCUCGGCCUCCCAAAGUGCUAGGAUUAGAGGUGUGAGCCACCACACCCAGCCUGAGCUAAAGAUAAAAUUAAUGAAUACAUCCUUGAAGUCCUGCUUAAUCAGGCCCGCCUACCUCCUAAUACUCAUCUUGCUCCACACUGGCUUUUGUUGUCUCUCCCACAGGUCUUGUUCUUCCUGCCAGAAAGUCAGGACACACACGGUCCCCUCUGCCGGAGGGCCCCCCUCUAUUUCUCACCUCAUUAACUUCAGUUGCACUGCCCCAUGUUGAAACCACAAGCCACAUGUGGCUAUUGAACAUUUGAAAUGUGGUUUGUCUAAAUUAUAAAAUAGACUCUAGAUUUCAAAGACUUAAUGCAAAAAAAGACAUAAAAUACCUCAAUAGCUUUGUAUUGAUUAUAUGCUGAAAUGAUAUUUUGGAUGUAAUGGAUUAGGUGUAAUAUAUUAUUAAAAUUAAUUUCACUUUUUUCUUUUUUAGUAAAACAGCUCUAACAACUCUAAAAAAAGCUUUAAUAAAGAAGUCAUAAAAUCUCACCACUCAAAAUUCUUGCCCUAGAUUUUGUUCCCUUUCUCCCAUUCUUUAUUUUGAAUGUAUUUUUAUUCUUUUUUCCUGUUUUUUUAAUUGAUAAAAAUGGCUUACAUAUAUGGUGUACAACAUUAUGUUGUAAUAUACAUUGUAAAAUGGCAAUUGACAUAAGAAUCAUCUCACAUACUUACCAUUUUUUAUAAUGACAACACUUAAAAUCUAGUCUCUUAGCAAUUUUAUUUUUUUUUAUAGGCGGGAUCUUACUAUGCUGCUCAGGCUGGAGUGCGGUGGCACCCUAACUCAGCUCACUGCAGCCUUGACAUUCUGGGCACAAGCAAUCCUCUCACAUCAGCCUCCUGGGUAACUGGGACAAUAGGCAUAAGCCACAAUGCCCAGCUAAUUUUUAAAACUUUUGUAGAGAUGGGAUCUCGCUGUGCUGUCCAGGCUGGUCUUGAACACCUGGGCGUAAGUGACCUUUCUGCCUCAGCCUCCGAAAGUACUGGGAUUACAGGCAUGAGCUACCACAUCUGGUGGCAAUUUUCAAGUAUACAGCUAUUGUACCAUGCUGUACAAUAGAUUUCUUGAACAUAUUCCUCCUGUCUGGCUGAAAUUCUGUGCUCUGUGACUCUGUGACCAGUAUCUUCCCAAUCC